rnacentral:rRNA from 1 species
ACCUCGAUGUCGGCUCAUCACAUCCUGGGGCUGAAGUAGGUCCCAAGGGUAUGGCUGUUCGCCAUUUAAAGUGGUACGCGAGCUGGGUUUAGAACGUCGUGAGACAGUUCGGUCCCUAUCUGCCGUGGGCGCUGGAGAAUUGAGGGGGGCUGCUCCUAGUACGAGAGGACCGGAGUGGACGCAUCACUGGUGUUCGGGUUGUCAUGCCAAUGGCACUGCCCGGUAGCUAAAUGCGGAAGAGAUAAGUGCUGAAAGCAUCUAAGCACGAAACUUGCCCCGAGAUGAGUUCUCCCUGAGACUUUAAGUCUCCUGAAGGAACGUUAAAGACGAUGACGUUGAUAGGCCGGGUGUGUAAGCGCAGCGAUGCGUUGAGCUAACCGGUACUAAUGAACCGUGAGGCUUAACCUUACAACGCCGAAG